GAGUUUUGUAGAUAGCUUGAACAUCUCUUCACAACAGACUAAAAAACAACUUAUUUUUCUAUUACAGUUGAAAUAUUGGGUGAAUAAAUGAGCUGUGUUGCUGUAUGAGAUACGUUUGAUGGAAAGAAAGAGUGUUUAAAAACACAGUGCAGCCUGAAAGGAGAGACAAAAUCAGAAUCACGGUAUGGAUCCUGAGGACAGAAGUUACAGUGACAAGUCCUGAAAUAAGCCUUCUAUUUUUUCACGUAUUUCUCAGGUACUCAGCAUUUCACAACAUGACAAACAGCAAUGAUGGAAGGCUAAUUUGUUCUUCAUGUGUCCAACCUCCUGUGCAGCUAGUUAUACCCUGGGAG
rnacentral:lncRNA from 1 species